rnacentral:rRNA from 1 species
UACAGAGGUCUCAAGCGUUGUUCGGAUUCAUUGGGCGUAAAGGGCUCGUAGGCGGCCAACUAAGUCAGACGUGAAAUCCCUCGGCUUAACCGGGGGAACUGCGUCUGAUACUGGAUGGCUUGAAUCCGGGAGAGGGAUGCGGAAUUCCAGGUGUAGCGGUGAAAUGCGUAGAUAUCUGGAGGAACACCGGUGGCGAAGGCGGCAUCCUGGACCGGCAUUGACGCUGAGGAGCGAAAGCCAGGGGAGCAAAGCGGGG